rnacentral:SRP_RNA from 1 species
GCCGGGUGUGGUGGCAGGCACCUGUAAUCCCAGCUACUCAGGAGGCUGAGGCAGGAGUCUUGCUUGAACCCAGGAGACAGAGGUUGCAGUGAGCAGAGACCGCGCCAGUGAGCAGAGACCGCGCCACUGCACUCCAGCCUGGGUGACAGAGCAAGCCUCUGUCUCAA